GAUGAACGCUGGCGGCGUGCCUAAUACAUGCAAGUCGAGCGAACAGACGAGGAGCUUGCUCCUCUGACGUUAGCGGCGGACGGGUGAGUAACACGUGGAUAACCUACCUAUAAGACUGGGAUAACUUCGGGAAACCGGGGCUAAUACCGGAUAAUAUAUUGAACUGCAUGGUUCAAUAGUGAAAGACGGUUUUGCUGUCACUUAUAGAUGGAUCCGCGCCGCAUUAGCUAGUUGGUAAGGUAACGGCUUACCAAGGCAACGAUGCGUAGCCGACCUGAGAGGGUGAUCGGCCACACUAGAACUGAGACACGGUCCAGACUCCUACGGGAGGCAGCAGUAGGGAAUCUUCCGCAAUGGGCGAAAGCCUGACGGAGCAACGCCGCGUGAGUGAUGAAGGUCUUCGGAUCGUAAAACUCUGUUAUUAGGGAAGAACAAAUGUGUAAGUAACUAUGCACGUCUUGACGGUACCUAAUCAGAAAGCCACGGCUAACUACGUG
rnacentral:rRNA from 1 species